rnacentral:rRNA from 1 species
CCUACGGGGGGCAGCAGUGAGGAAUAUUGGUCAAUGGACGAGAGUCUGAACCAGCCAAGUAGCGUGAAGGAUGACUGCCCUAUGGGUUGUAAACUUCUUUUAUAUGGGAAUAAAACGUUCCACGUGUGGGAUUUUGUAUGUACCAUAUGAAUAAGGAUCGGCUAACUCCGUGCCAGCAGCCGCGGUAAUACGGAGGAUCCGAGCGUUAUCCGGAUUUAUUGGGUUUAAAGGGAGCGUAGGUGGAUUGUUAAGUCAGUUGUGAAAGUUUGCGGCUCAACCGUAAAAUUGCAGUUGAAACUGGCAGUCUUGAGUACAGUAGAGGUGGGCGGAAUUCGUGGUGUAGCGGUGAAAUGCUUAGAUAUCACGAAGAACUCCGAUUGCGAAGGCAGUUCACUGGACUGCAACUGACACUGAGGCUCGAAAGUGUGGGUAUCAAACAGGAUUAGAUACCCUAGUAGGUC